CUGCAGUGAUGAUUUCUAGAUGUGACUGACCUGGAAUUGCUGGCCUCCGGGUCGCCUCUGUUCAGGAAAUGACUUGGGUUAAUCUUCUCUCUGAGCGG
ensembl:snoRNA